CACGUAGGGUGCGAGCGUUGUCCGGAAUUAUUGGGCGUAAAGAGCUCGUAGGCGGUGUGUCGCGUCGGCCGUGAAAACUUGCAGCUUAACUGUGGGCGUGCGGUCGAUACGGGCAUCACUGGAGUUCAGCAGGGGAGACUGGAAUUCCUGGUGUAGCGGUGAAAUGCGCAGAUAUCAGGAGGAACACCGGUGGCGAAGGCGGGUCUCUGGGCCGAUACUGACGCUGAGGAGCGAAAGCGUGGGGAGCGAACAGG
rnacentral:rRNA from 1 species